GUUUUAUACAAUCGGAAGAAUUUUGUGAGUCCAUGCGCAAGGGCCAUCUCCCUAAUUCUCGGAAGUUUAUCUUGUUUGUGGACAAGAAAAUGUCCCUAGAAACAUCAGACGUAGUCCAUUAUGAAGAUUAAUCCUACUGUAUAAAAAAAGCAUCAAGGAAACCCCAGAGUUGGAACUUUGAAGAAAGUGACAGAUACAAUUACUAAAAUUGUUGAAUUGUCAAAGCUGUUGGAUGAUUUGUACAUGCAGAUUUGUGUGGUGUUUCAAGAUUAUUUUUUUUUUAAUUAUUGUGAUUAAACAAUUCUAAUAUGAAUAUUUUACAUUUAUAUUUAUUUAAAAUGUUGGCUUAUAUUAACAAUGCAUUUUGUAAAUAAAUAUUUAUAAAGGUAUAGCUCAUUUAUUUAUUUUAAUUUUUGAAAAUUUACCAGCACAUAAACAAAGGAACUAUGUGCUACGAUUAUGGUUCUUAUGUCUUACAAUGGCAUAUUCUGUACGUUAAUCAACUAGCAGUGCUGCUAAAUAUUAUGUUUUUUUGUUGUUUAAUGUUUCAAUUUUGUAACAGAAACUAUGUCUCCUAAGCAAAACUUAUUGUGGGAAUUUUUAGCAAAAAUUUUCGGGAUUUACAUAUCAUUAUAAGCUCUAUUGGUGUGUUUUUGCACUAAAAUAAUAAUAAAUACAGUAAAUGGAUAUUUAUUCAAAA